GCCGGAAGUGGCGCGUCCCGGAAGAGAAACGUGAGGUUGUCUGUGUCCGCUGUUUAGAGAGUAAUGAUGCGGGUGUGCUGGUUGGUGAGACAGGAUAGCCGGCACCAGCGAAUCAGACUUCCACAUUUGGAGGCAGUGGUGGUUGGGCGUGGCCCAGAGACCAAGAUCAUUGACAAGAAAUGUUCUCGACAGCAAGUACAGUUGAAAGCAGAGUGUAACAAAGGAUAUGUCAAGGUAAAGCAGAGUUUGAGGAAGAGGCAGAGAGCCCUGGCCUGGAAACACACAGGAAGAGAAAGAGGUCAGGCAACAAUGAUUCUAUAGAAAGGGGUGCUGCCCAGGAAGCUGACUCCCAUACAGGACUGGAACCUGGGAGUGACCCUGGCCAAUGCUCUGUGCCCUCAAAGAAGGAGAAAGAUGCGUCUACCAAAAAGGAAUCAUUGGGCCACUGGAGUCAAGGCUUAAAAAUUUCUAUGCAGGAUCCCAAAAUGCAGGUUUACAAAGAUGAGCAGGUAGUGGUGAUUAAGGAUAAAUACCCCAAGGCUCGUCACCACUGGCUGGUCUUACCAUGGGCUUCCAUUUCCAGUCUGAAGGCUGUGACCAGGGAACAUCUUGAGCUCCUUAAACACAUGCACACUGUGGGGGAAAAGAUGAUUACAGAUUUUGCUGGGUCCAGCAAACUCCGCUUCCGAUUGGGUUACCAUGCCAUUCCCAGCAUGAGCCAUGUACAUCUUCAUGUGAUCAGCCAGGAUUUUGAUUCUCCUUGCCUCAAAAACAAAAAACAUUGGAAUUCUUUCAAUACAGAAUACUUCAUAGAAUCACAAGCUGUGAUAGAGAUGGUACAGACCGCUGGCAGAGUGAGUGUCCGAGAUGGGAUGCCUGAGCUCUUGAAGCUGCCCCUCCGUUGUCACGAGUGCCAGCAGCUGCUGCCUUCCAUUCCUCAGCUGAAAGAGCAUCUCAGGAGACACUGGCCAAAGUGAUUCUGUGGAGCCUGAACUUUUGCAGCAGGAUAAGGGGAACUCCUUCCUAUAUAAAUCCAACUCCUCACCUUGACCACAAGUCCAAGAUGGAAGCAUCUGUGUUCUGGGCAGGAGGAUGGAAGAGAAGGUGAAGAAGGGGAUCAAGGAUUCACACAUACUCUUUGAGGAAGUUUCCUGGAAUCUCCUCCAUGAUUCUUCUUUUUGUAUUACCAUGGCCAGAAUUCAGCCACAAGCCAAAGGUGACCAAGCUUUAAGGGCAGCUGUGAGAUAUAACCUUUAUUUUUGGCAAAUCCAUGCUCAACUAAAAUUUUUAUUAUUACAGAAGCAGCAUAGAAUGUAAAUUAGAGACAUUGAACAGUGUCUACCAGUAUUCCUUUGCACAUGAAAAAAAAUUAAGUUCCCUCACUCUUUUUUCUUAUUUUUUACUUAUAUUGCAAAUAUUUUGCAAAUAUUACCUUUUAAUUUUAUAAUCUUUAAUUUUUUUAUGUUCUCAUCAUACAGAAGAGGGAACAUGAAGGGGGGAGAAGGGCAGAGGCAGAGAGAGGAAAUCCCCAGCAGGCUCCAUGCUCAGCACAGAGCCCAAUGUGGGCUUGAUGCGGAACUUGAUCCCAUGACCCUGGGACCAUGACCCAAGCCAAAAUCAAGAGUGGGACCCUCAACCGACUGAGCCACCCAGGUACCCCAGGCAUUCCGUUUUAUAAAACUAAUUUCUUGUUUCUGGAUUUUAUAUUUUGCUUAAGUAGGCCUUCCUUAUCCAUAUGUUCUCAUAUUUUCUUUUGGUAGUUUUAUACUUUUGUUUUUUUUUUUUACUUUAGAUCUUCAUUAUAUGUGGUAUUUAAAUUUUGGUAGUGUGACAUAGGGAUCCAUCUUUAUUUUUUCAAUUUUUAUCUAACUCCAACUCGUUUUAAACUAGCCUUCAUUCUCAUUCAUUUGAAAUGCCACAUUUAUGGUGAACUAAAUUUUAAUACAUACACAAGUCUGUUAUGGGCUCCCUAUUUCAGUUAUAUUGAGCUAUUACUAAACUCUCAAUUUUUGUUACCAUGGUUUUGUAGAAUUUCUUUAUUCUUCACUCUUUUUCUUCUUUUCCUCCCCACUCCUCCUCCUUUCUCUACUCUUACUUUCAUUUCACCUAGCUGAGCUUGUAGGACACUCCUAUGAGGGUGAGACAAACUGGUACAAGCUUCCACCUCUGUUUUCUUCACUGUAGAAUCUUUGUGCCUCUUGUACUCAGCACCUUUGCGUUUCUUUGCUGCCUAAUGUCACCUUUCUGGGUCUUGCAUUGUGUGAGAUGCUGCCAUUGGAUGGAUUGCUGCUUAUAAUUGACUUGUUCUUUGUGCUUCAUCCUUUUGAUCCUUUGUGUGUGUAUAAAAUCUAUUUAUUUUUAUGACUAUAUUUAAACAUUUUCCCUAAGUUCUCUGAAGAUGUAAAAUCAAUUGUUGACAUCAAUACAUGUGAAUCCACCUCUUUAUUUCCUUUUAUUUAUCUUUUUUGACUGCCUGACUGGUUUCUUCAGGAAGGAUGAAAUUGUUUUCUGAGUCAAUGAGCUGCUAAAUCUCAGAAUCAGGUAGCACAUGAAUGUUGCAUGGUGCUCAGUGGUUUAUACGGCCUUGGAAACAAUUUGCUACCUAAAGUUCUGGUGAACUUGUCCUGGAUGCAGAUAAUAAGGGAGUGCUUGUGGGUGGUUCAGCAGAAUGAGAAAUAGGCACACCUCUCCCUAGAGCUUUAUCUCUCUAGACUCUUUGGGCCACUUUUCUGCUAUCCACUUUGACUUUCUCUAUGGUCAUGGCCUGUCUGAUCAGUGUUCUUCUUUAACAUUUUAUUGUCUUGUCUACAGUUUCUUUUCCAGAUGAAUUUCCUAUUCAACUUGUCAGAAUCUAAUAAAAAAGUCUCACAAUUUUGA